UAAAAGACUUUGAUGGUUUUGUUGCAGAGACUUGAGCUUUAACAACUUAAGUGGUCGGAUCCCACGGUCUAUGAAAAAUCUAUUUCUUAAUAGAUUGGGUCUCGCAAGCAAUAUGCUUAGUGGGCCAAUUCCUUCCUGGAUUCGUGACAUAUAUAAGGUGGAUCUGUCGUAUAAUUAUAACUUCACAAAUCCA